UACAGGGGGGGCAAGCGUUGUUCGGAAUUACUGGGCGUAAAGGGUUCGUAGGUGGCCACUUAAGUCAGACGUGAAAUCCCUCAGCUUAACUGGGGAACUGCGUCUGAUACUGGAUGGCUUGAGUGCAGGAGAGGAAUGCGGAAUUCCAGGUGUAGCGGUGAAAUGCGUAGAUAUCUGGAGGAACACCGGUGGCGAAGGCGGCAUUCUGGACUGUAACUGACACUGAGACGCGAAAGCGUGGGUAGCAAACAGG
rnacentral:rRNA from 1 species